UCCCUAGACCUUGCAUACCCUGACACCAUCAUGGUCCACAACCUCACGUCCCUUGCCUUCUCCCCUGCCAAAUCAAACACCUUCCUGGCAAGCGCCACCCCCCUGCACUUCGCAUACAUGUCCACCAACACGAUCGCCACCUGUUGUGACUGAAACAGUUCAGCCCGAAGCGCUCUCAUGGCAACCCCGUGCAAUGCUUUUGCCACCCUCAAAUCCUUCAGUCCCGCACAUGCGCCCGACAACGCCGUGAUGGUCCACCCAUCCGGCCGCAAUCCUCUGUCCACCAUAACCCUGAAUACUCCGAAAGCAUCGCCAACACAGCAUGCAUGCACAUAUGACCCGAUCAGAGUGUUGAAGGAUACGGUGUCCCUUGUCGGCAUUUCAUCGAACAGCCUGUGCGCCAGAGAGGGCAGACCGAAGGACGCGUAG
rnacentral:rRNA from 1 species